rnacentral:tRNA from 1 species
GUGACUGUAGCUCAACGGCAGAGCAUCAGCUUGUGGAGCUGAGAGUUGCGGGUUCGAAUCCCGUCAGUCACC